UACGUAGGGGGCAAGCGUUGUCCGGAAUCAUUGGGCGUAAAGCGCGUGUAGGCGGCUUGGUAAGUCCGCUCUGAAAGCCCGGGGCUCAACCCCGGGAAGCGGGUGGAUACUGCUGGGCUCGAGUCCGGAAGAGGAGUGUGGAAUUCCUGGUGUAGCGGUGAAAUGCGCAGAUAUCAGGAGGAACACCAAUGGCGAAGGCAGCACUCUGGGACGGUACUGACGCUGAGACGCGAAAGCGUGGGGAGCGAACAGG
rnacentral:rRNA from 1 species